AGGAAAUAGAGCAUCUGAACAAAUAUCAAAUAUACAAUUAACCUUGAUAAAUCAAGCCUCAGAAGUAAAAAUUAAAAGGCGCCUGAUCACACAUGAUCUCCGUAAGGGAGCUGAUAACGAGCAGCAAAAUGGGGCAGUAGGAGUCCUAGCACAUCUUCUCUACCGUAUCCACCCCGAAGUUUUAUUGCUUGAUGAAGUCAUAUGAAGUUACGGAACCCAAGAGAGACCGGGGAGCAUCCUGGAUAUCUCACAGCUAUAACUUUCAGGUUUUAGGCUGACAGCAUCCAGCCUGCAGCCCGCUGCAAUCGAAAUACAUGCAUUUUUAGAAAUUAUACCUUUCAGUUAGCUGAAGGGGAAAACUUUCUUCUGGGAAUCAUCAUCUCGCCGAUAAAGAACUCUAAAAUCCCUGUGUGUGAUCAGCACAGUAGGGUAACGCGCAGGUGAUCCGGCUUAUCUCACCUAACGUGUCAAUGAGUUUUGCAAGCAGUUUUCUGGGGCUUUCGCUCAUUGGUGGUUUGGGCCUCAUUCAUGAUAUUCUUUAGAGACCUGGCCCAGCGCAGGCGGCGGAGAGUUGCCUGGGAAGAGGUAUAGACCGCACCCUGGUCACUCCGGGAAGCGCCCGAGCCCCAUUACCUCCCAGCCCAUCUGUCUCACUGCGCUCACGGAGCCCGGGGCUCUCCGAGGGGCAGCCCAGUUUUUCCUGCUAAGAACCCAAAGGACUUGCUCAGAGCUGGAAUUCGGCGAAGCAACUUGCUCCAACACGCCAAAUCUGCCGCAUCCCCAGUACCCCACCCUCCAGCUUCUGCGCUCGCUACCCACAACCCCAGCCUCAAUUUGACGACUCCCCGCCCCCACCACGCUGAGAGUCUCUAUCCUAACCCCUUGGGUGCGAGGAAGUGUCUGCGCGUCGGAGCGCGCCGGGCGCGGCGAGGCCACCAGUGACUCCCAGCGGCCGCACAGGGCGCUGCGCCCCCCUC